rnacentral:rRNA from 2 species
UACGGAGGGAGCUAGCGUUGUUCGGAAUUACUGGGCGUAAAGCGCACGUAGGCGGCUUUGUAAGUUAGAGGUGAAAGCCUGGAGCUCAACUCCAGAACUGCCUUUAAGACUGCAUCGCUUGAAUCCAGGAGAGGUGAGUGGAAUUCCGAGUGUAGAGGUGAAAUUCGUAGAUAUUCGGAAGAACACCAGUGGCGAAGGCGGCUCACUGGACUGGUAUUGACGCUGAGGUGCGAAAGCGUGGGGAGCAAACAGG